AGAUGCUGAAAAUUUUCUAUGGUCAAGUCUGUCUGGAAAUCGUUGCCUCUGAGUCCUCUGGGUUACACCUGUGUAUUAGCAUAUUAAAGGUUCUGCCAAAUCUGCAGGAAGAAAACUGCCUUGUGUUCAGCAAGCAUUUGUCUUGCUGUUGGACUACCAAACUCCCUUUCCGUUGUGAGGGUGGUGAUGAUGGAUGAGAAUGUUUUGGGAAAUGCUGGCCCAGGGGCCCUUCGUGCUCUGAAACCCUACGCUGUGAAAAUGGCUGUCUGUGAGGUGCAUGUUGGUGACCUUGGCCUGAGUGGACCACUGCUCAGUGCUGCCUCUGGCAGCAUCCCAGGCUCAGCCCUAUCUCCGGCUCUCCAGGUUGCAGCAAAAGACAGCACCUCUGCGCGUUCCCUGUUAUUAAACCUCGCUGCUCCAGCGCCCCAGGGCCCUGCUCUCCGCGCCCUC
rnacentral:lncRNA from 1 species